GAAACUGGGCAAACUUUAAAUCAUUAUAAAUUUCUCAUUUCUCCACCAAAUCACACGAUCCAAGCAUGAAAAUUCAUCUACACAAUAUGAGGAAUCAAUUUAUACCUAAGUUCAAGUCCAAUCUAGCCAGGAAAGGCUCCAAUUUCACUCAAACCUGUCGGAACCCUAUAAAGGGUAUGCUUCGAUUCGACUUCUCCGGUGUUCCAACACCCCUAUAACUGGUUGGGUCUUGUUUCUGAGUCCAGGGGAAGUUGAUUAAGGGUGAUGGUGGGUGGUAGAACUCGCGGGAACUGCGGGAUAGCCGUUGAACACCUCCAGCUCUUCCACACGGUUCUUGUGAUUUUGGACCUAAAAGCUCAUAAAUUUGGGGUGGAAAUGGUAGAAGGCAUGUUGUGGAAGAGAUGGCAGGUGUUAGAUGGUGAUGGUUCGAUGGAAAAGAUGGCGAAAAUUGCCGGAAUUCGAUUGGGUUGGGUGCGGGUAGAAGGGCCGACAGAAAUGGAGCUUUCCUCUUUUUUAUUUUUUUUAUUUUUUUCCUGAAUUCUCAUUGGUCCUUCCCCUUUUCUUUUCAAAAUUUGAUUGGUCACUUAUUUAACAUAACUGAUUGGGCUGAAACCAAGCCCCUGAUUGGUUCCUUUAUUUCUUACUUAAUUCCAAUUGGUUCUCCUUAAUCUUGCCUAAAUCCGAUUGGGCUUUUCUCCCACAAGGUGGAAGUUCAAUUAAUCUAUAAUCCAAAAUAUAAAUAACCAAAUUCAAAUGUCCGUGACCUUACCGUUAUAAUCCGGAUUCACAAACGGCUUUCAUCUAUGAGUUCGUACCAACGAGUACUACACAAAUACGCCAAAAGAAUAAGUCAUACGUUCCUCUAGACGACGGUCAACAGAAAUCAAAGUCCUCGCCUCCAGGGCAUUUUCGUCAAUUCACGCUUUUAAAAUUUAUAAAAUUGUAAAAUUUGGGACCGGUUGUCACAAUCUAUCCACCUUAAAAAAUAUUGUCCCCGAAAUUUAAAAUAACAUGUAUGUAAAUACAUACGCGAGGAAGACAUCAAGUUAAAACAGCUAUAUAAAAGAGAAUCCCUUUGGGAAUAUGCAACAUCGUCUGAACAAGCCUCAACCGUGCUCACGCACUACUUCGUCAGUCAACAUCGUCGAUAUCAUAAAAUCUUCAUGUCACCAUCUCAAUUAUUCAAAUACCUAUUCAGAAUUCUCUGCUGCAACUCACAUUCUACUACCAUAUUUCAAAUGACCAUACUCAUAACUAGAAAUGUAACUGCAGUUACACAACUUUAACAAGGCUAAGUGUCUAACAAUCAUGUACCAUGCAUAAAAUCUCCGUAUAUUGACUAUAAUGGUAUCUUAGCUAACCAUGAAUACAAACAACUAAAACAGAGAUAGUGGUAUGUUACAAUCAUAGUACUCGUGGGAUGAACAAAACGCAAUAUGUCCACUAAAGUUUGAGUAACUUGCUUCAGUCAAAUCUUUAGUCUAGAGGUGGAAAUAUGAUACUAAACAACAUCUAAUACUUACAGCCUUUAAAAAGACUUCCAAAGGCUUGGAAGUAAAAUGUGCACUACGAUGUAAUAAAAAUAUGUCAAGAUAAUAAUCUGGUUGUUUUCUAUUUGCCUGAACUUGUAUAAAAGUCUAGAAGCAACUCUCUCAAAAUGCCAUCAUCUUGCAAAAGCAAACAGAGAAGAAACUGUGGUUGUCCAGAAAGUUUGGACUUUAUUUCCUUGACAUCCUUCUACUCCAACCGAAGGCGAGAUGCCUAGACUGAAAUUUCUCUUCAAGUACCUCAAGUGGAGCCUAAAAUUUAAUUUUUCAUUUGAUCAUAUCACGAACAAGGACUUUUAGAUCACGUCUCGCAGAUAAUUUAACAACAUCCCACUUCUAUCUUAGUUGUCCUCAAAAGUGUCUUUCAUAUAAUCCUCAGUCUCCCAGGUGGCUUCCUCCACCAAGUGAUUCCUUCACAAAACUUUUACUAAACGUACGGCCUUAUUCCUUAUAACUUUAUCCUUCGAACCCAAAAUCGUCACCGGCUCCUCAUCAUAUGACAAAUCUAGAUUAAUCUCUAAUGGUUGAGGAGGGAUCACAUGUGAUGGAUCUGAUACAUAAUGGUGAAGCAUAGAAACAUGAAAAACAUUGUGCACUUUAGAUAACUCUGGAGGCAACUCAAACGUGUAAGCAGCUUCACUGAUUCGUUCAGGAUCCGGUACAGUCCAAUGUACCUAGGACUUAACUUACCCUUUUUCCCGAACCUUACUACUCAUUUCCAAGGAUAACUUUAAAAAUACCCAAUCACCAACUUUAUACUCUCAGUCAGUGGAGGUGUAAAAAUAGGGGUAAGGUGAGACAACACUUCAGUUGUCAGAAACUUUAAUCAUUUCCAACACCCACUCUAAUUUAACUUUCCUUGGUGAUAAGUGAGGAAAACUCUAUAGACGAAAGGUUUGAGGUUUCUACGAUAAAGUGUUUAGUCCCUGGUUGGGUAGACUUGUAAUUAAGUUUCUCAAUGACAUCAGAAACGUUCGAUAUGAAGUAAGGAAAAUUGGUGUACCAUUAAGAAGUGGGUCGAUGAUGUACCUCAGUUCACAAUUUGGUGAUAUCCCAGGUAAGAUGUUAGGAUAUGACGCCAAAAGUACACGUCCUUGAAACGUACAAUACUACUAACCAACUUUACGACACAAACAAAAGAUCUUCACAGUUUUCUCAAAAUUCAAAUCACUUUAACAACGAGAUAUUAACUCAUACCUCGAUUCUACUGUCUACCUAUGAGAGUGAUCGAGAGGUGGCUAGUCGAAGAGGUUACAUUUACUUAGGUAGGUGAUAAGGUGAAAACAACCAUGAGUUAACUAUUCUAAUACAAAGCUUGUUCCUAAGCUUUCACGAUCCUAGAUUAUUCGGCUCAAGCAAAGUAGUUCAUUGAUCCUAGGAGGAUUUGAUGACUGCUUUUCGGAUUUCUACAACUCUCAUGAUAUGACAACUUACACUCGCAAACCUAUUCUCACCCAUUUAAUAAGUAUAACAACAAAAACAAAAUCUCGGAAUUAGCGUUGAUUGAAAAAUUCCAAGGCUGGAAAAAGACCUUGCUAAAGAUCUACUUUCAAAAAGACUUUAUCGAGAGUGGAUCUUCCUCCUAAAGAUUUAGCAUGAACACAAGUACGCUUGAAGAUAUUAAUGCUAACAAGGACCAAAAGUAAUUAUCCCUCAGAUGAUUUUCCGUGAAUUGCUACUAAGAAAUCAAGACUAGUUGAGAUUUCCAAUCUAAAACGGAUCAAUACUAACGGCGGAAGAAUAAUGAUAGAAUUAUUUGGUAAUAUCUCUGUUGAUACACGGUUAUUAAUACAUUAACUUAGGCCAUCCACUUGCCUCAAAUCUACACCUUUCCUCCACAAGUAAAAUUUUCGUUUUAAUUCUAAGGGCAUUGUCAAAAAUGAUUUUCUAAAAUGUCGUCAAGACUACAAAACUACCCAAAACUAAAGAAAAGCUAACAUAUUUUUCCAUAUUUGACACGGUGGCAAGAUUCAAGCAUCUAGUCAAGAACCAAAAAUGUUCACAUCACGCGUGUGAUGAACGCCAUACUGCCCAACUUAUGCUUUGAUACCAAACAGACACACACCGACCCACAAAGUCCACUUAGACUCUAAAUCGAGAUGUGGUGGCCGACACCUGUAAGGUGAUGAAACCAUAAAGUGUGGUAGAGUUUAGAAAAAUGUGAAUAAAUCUGAACCUAAAAGUGUUUAAAUACCAGAGUGCGUUGUGCGUGGGAGCAAACUCAUUUCACAUGCGAAGUCAGAGCAUAAGUAGAGUACAGUAGUGUGGGUAUGAAUCAUACCCUUAGAGGUAGCCAUCAAUACUAAGAUUUGCCAUAGAUCCUCAUCGAUACGAACUCAGCAGCUAAAACCUGGACGACACGAAACAGAGAGUGUGAGUGAGCAAUAAAACCAAGCUUCCCAAAGUUAUUAUUUUCCUAGAAGUAAUGUCUCUCAAUGUAAGACCCGUAUCGUUUUCAUAAGACAAUACUACAUAUAUAUAUCCAAACCAUACACAAAAAUGGCCAAGACCAUAGGUAUGCCAUGUCCAACAACUCCACUAUGCAUUAACGAGUUGGCCAAAUGAACUUAAUCAAUAUAGGAUGAUAUAUCAGCCGGAGUCACCUAACGUGACCUGUACGACUGCAUCCAAUUUUCAUCAAUUAAUGCGAGCAUAUAAGCUGGAGUCACCUGUAGUGACCUGUACGACAUAUCCAUAUCUUAUCAAUCAAUGCUAGCUUAUAAGUCGGAAUCACCUAUUUUGACUUGUAAAACAUAUCCAUAUCUCAUCAAUUAAUGUUAGCUCAUAAGUUGGAGUCAACCGUAGUGACCUGUACGACAUAUCGAUAUCUCAUUAAUCAAUGCUAGCUCAUAAGUCGAAGUCACCCGUAGUGACCUGUACGACAUAUCUAUAUCUUAUCAAUCAAUGCUAGCUCAUAAGUCGGAGUCACAUCUAGUGACUUGUACGACUGAAAUCAUAGCUCAUUAAUCAAUCUGGCCGGAGUCACCUCUAGUGACCUAUACGGCAUUACGCCUGCACAUGAAUAGGAACCACUAUAGUGGUCUAUACGACAGGACUGGGUGUAAAUGAAUACGCUCAAGUGCUACGAUCAUGUGAAGAGUCACCUACGAGUCGGAACCACCUAUAGUGAUCUGUAUGAUAGGUCUGUGCACCUACCUUGAAUUCAAGAUGAGCGUAUGGUGUGGAGGUUAACAUUACGUGAAGAACUAUGCCCUGGCCACGGGCGGGAAAACUAGCACCGGGGUACAGGUUUAUGAGCUUUAAAUGAAUCUAAUACAACAUGUACGACUCAUAAGCAACCUGUACGACAAUGCCGGAGUUGCCUACUAUUGCAACCUAUACGACAGUGUCGAAGUUGCUUAAAACAUAAAUGUAGUCAUACCAUAACCCCAUCAGUUCAACUAAUAUUGUAUACUUACCUGAACGUACCUGAACAUACCUGUGUGUCCUGCGUUCACCUUUGCACUUCAGAGCUUUCACAAUAAGUAGGUUCAGGAAAUAAACAUAUGAAUAUGCCAUGAUGUAAAUCUAAAAUUCAACCAUGUCAUAAUAUUUCCGGAUAUAUAAACAUAUAUACAAAUGGCAUAAAAUGCAUAAACUGUAACGCCCCACUCCCGAACUAUUUAAUUUCGAAAGUAAACAUCAGUGAUAAGCCCAAUUAGACACUAGUUUAAUUAACUGCCAUUACUUAUGUUUCCUUACUUCAACUUCUUGAUUCUUCACACAUUGAUUUAUGAACAACAUUUAACCACCAAAACAUAAAGUUAAAUCUCACAUUUUCCACCAAUGUCCCUUGUUGAUGCACAAAACCGGGACGGUCUUGGAACAACGUAAAUCCGACCGUGAAUCUGCAUAAACGCUCAAGAACACGAAGAACACAAAGAACACAAGGAACACAAGGAUUUUAUCGUGGUUCACCCCAAUGUUUGGGCUACGUCCACACUGUAGUUGAUUCUGUUUCUCUGUAAGUGUAUGGAUACAAGUGUUUGGGGAAGUCCCCCAGAGAAAGAAGAGAAGGGAGAGGAGAGCCUCGGUGGUGUGAGGUCUCUCCUGAAUGUAAUGAGAGCUUCUCUUAGCCUUCUUAAGCUGGCUCUCUCCCUCCCUUAGAAUGAUGGGAUGAGUCCCCUUUUAUAGAAUAAGGGGCUCCUCCUUUUUUACAAAGUAUGGGCUUUAGUGUGAGGCCCAAAUACAAGGCCCAAGGCCCAAAUAUACGAGGCCCUAAAUAUGGUAUAAACAUCCCUCACAAUGCUCAGUUCCCCAAACAAGGCUAUUGUCUCAAUUAUUUAGUCUCAUUUAUUGUAUGGCUGCAUGUAACAUCUUGUUAGACUACCUACGUACCCUAAACAGGGAUCAAGCCAUUCGUAGUUCACUAUAAUUAUUUGUAGGUACAUACAUAAAUCACUUUAAGAACGUUUGUGGAAUUAAUAAUUAUAUACAUAUGGUAAGGGGAAAAGAUCCACUCACCUGGAGCCCAUGCUAUGAUUCACCAGCACGUACAUCGAGGUGUCCCGAACAAUUGGCACCUAUAACAAUUAUCGAAUCACAUCUCAAAACUCUUAUCAAUAGAAUACGUAAUUCACAUAAAGCACAUCCUCAAGGAAAUUCUAAAAUGAUUUGAGAUCCAUUGACCAAAGGUCAACCGUUGGUUAAAGAUCGACGGUGAGGUCCACAACCCUACAUAACUCAAUCUAGGAGAUCCGCAACUCAGAUUUUUGAUCCAUAACUUUCAAAGAUCCAAAUUGUGCUUCUAAAAUAACAUACUAAAAUUUCAUUACGAUCCAACGGUCGGAUCUCCACCUUUUGUCCAAAACCAAGUGGCGGUUAACAUUUAUUUUAUAAACUUACAAAUUCAAUUCGGGAAGAUCCAUACGUUGGAUUCCGGAUCCAUAAGUUUCUAUGGUCCUCAAAUAUUACGUACUAAUGUAUUAAAGUUUGGUGAUAAUCCAAUGGUCGGAUCGUCGAUUACUAUUCUAAACAAGUGGUGGACCUUAAUGGAACUUUGCCGGAUUCUGCAGAUUUUGCAGAUUUCCCGGGCGAUCUUUGGAACUCCAUAUCUCACAUGUUUCUCACCCAAAUUCAACCCAUAAUAUACCAAAUCGAAGCUCGCGAAAUGUAGAACAAAAUUAUACCAGCUUGGAGUCCAAAUGGUGGUUGGAGGUGGCCGGAAAAUGGUCUGAAAGACGGCUGUCCGCGGGAAAACUGGUAACUCGCCGGAAUUUCUGGGCAUCCUUUUCAACAUCCAUAACUUUGUCAAUACUCAACGAAAACAAGUAAUUCAAAAAUGGAAAUCAUAGUGCUCAACGAGACGAAGAUAUUGGUACCUUACAUGAUGGCUAUCUCGCUGUGAUUUGGCCAG
rnacentral:lncRNA from 1 species